GACAGAGGGUGCAACCGUUGUUCGGAAUUACUGGGCGUAAAGCGCGUGUAGGCGGCUAUGUAAGUCGGGCGUGAAAUCCCACGGCUCAACCGUGGAAGUGCACCCGAAACUGCGUAGCUAGAGUCCUGGAGAGGAAGGUGGAAUGCUUGGUGUAGAGGUGAAAUUCGUAGAUAUCAAGCGGAACACCGGUGGCGAAGGCGGCCUUCUGGACAGUGACUGACGCUGAGACGCGAAAGCGUGGAGAGCAAACAGG
rnacentral:rRNA from 1 species